rnacentral:rRNA from 1 species
CUACGGGCCGCUCCAGUGAGGAAUAUUGCACAAUGGGGGGAACCCUGAUGCAGCAACGCCGCGUGGAGGAUGACGCAUUUCGGUGUGUAAACUCCUUUUAUAUGUCAAGAAAAUGACGGUAGCAUAUGAAUAAGCACCGGCUAACUCCGUGCCAGCAGCCGCGGUAGUACGGAGGGUGCAAGCGUUACUCGGAAUCACUGGGCGUAAAGGACGCGUAGGCGGGUUGGAAAGUCAGGUGUGAAAUCCUACAGCUUAACUGUAGAACUGCACUUGAAACUUCUAAUCUAGAGUAUGGGAGGGGGAGAUGGAAUUAGUGGUGUAGGGGUAAAAUCCGUAGAUAUCACUAGGAAUACCUAAAGCGAAGGCGAUCUCCUGGAACAUUACUGACGCUAAGGCGUGAAGGCGUGGGGAGCAAACAGGAUUAGAUACCCCCGUAGUC